GACGAACGCUGGCGGCGUGCUUAACACAUGCAAGUCGAGCGGAGCGGCGAACGGGCGAGUAACGCGUGAGUAACUGCCCCCCUCUCUGGGAUAACAGUUGGAAACGGCUGCUAAUACCGGAUAGUGGGGGAUGACUCGCGUCCUAUCAGCUUGUUGGUGGGGUAGUGGCCUACCAAGGCGACGACGGGUAGCCGGCCUGGGAGGGCGACCGGCCACAAUGGGCUGAGAUACGGCCCAAAGGCCUACGGGAGGCAGCAGUGGGGAGUCUUGCACAAUGGGGGAAAGCCUGAUGCAGAAGCGCCGCGUGCGGGAUGACGGCCUUCGGGUGGUGAACCGCUUUCAGCGAUGACGCGGUAGUGGCAGAAGAAGCACCGGCUAACUACGUGCCAGCAGCCGCGGUAAUAC
rnacentral:rRNA from 1 species